CCAGCCCCAGCUCCCGGCUCCAGCUCGUCCGCGUCGUCUGGCGCAGUGCUUGCCCCAGCGCCAUCAGUCUUCUAUCCAGCUUCAACCCCACCGUCGGUCUCUAGUUCGUCAUGGCGCUGAAUUUCUUCCUCGUGUCAUCCCUGCUCCUCGCGCGUUGGGCACCGGGAGACUCUCCCUGCUUGGUCUGGCGUGGGCUGUAGCUGCAUGACAAAAGCGCCCCUGUUUUCUGCUCGCCAACCAUGCUCGCUUUACGUCCACCUCGUCGUGUGUCGUCGUGGGCUCAUCGGCAACUCUGGCCAACUAACAGUACCAGCCUCCCUGGCGUUCGUCUCUUCGUCGCGCCUGUAUAGCCCCAGUUGCGACACCAUGCACUCUUCUGGUUGUUGACGUCGUUCCUCGCAUCCCGCCUAUUCGAUGAAACGCCCAAAUCCAUAGACUGUCGACGCACUGCUGCCAUACGCGGUUGUCUCCGUCACUUGCGUCAGCUCGCCAGACCUGCAGCUCUAUACGUCACCCUCUUGUAUCGUCGUCGAGCUCGUCGAACCCCUUCCUUCCCUGCUCGACCUCGACGAACCCCGGUGAGGACCCGCUGUCUCCUUAUGAUUAUUUUUCGUUAGUAUUUGUACCCGGCGUCGAUUUAUUCGAUGCUAAUCAAUUGUAUGUUUAUGUGUGCUUGUGAGGAUAGAAUCCCGGAUGUUACGAAAACGCAAGCGAAGUUCGGGUGACGCUUGUGUGUCCGAUAGAAAGAUCGAAGUCAAAACAAUUGAUGUGUUCGCGCCGACAAAAGAAUCCCAAGAUGAUGUGGAGAAACAAGCCCCAGGUCGAUGCCCCCAAGUGCUCGGCAAAAGGCCUGAACAAGGAUCAUCGUCGUUUAUUCGGAUUGCUAGUCGAUAUGGUAAUCGUACUCUGAUUCGCUAUUCUAGUUAAUUAAUUUGAUAGAUGGAGGAGAAGAAUAUGUUAAUAGAAUUGUAGGCAUGGUUGAUUCGAUUAAAAAUAUUCUAUCUGCUAGGUCAUAGAAUAAUGUGAUGUUCAUGUAUUUGGCAUGAUAUGCAAAUUAAUCUGGAUAAAUAGUUUAGAAAGUUAGUUAAUAUGCUCCCUUACUCUAAAUUGUCGGUAUUCAAAAAUAGUGAAUAAAAAUGUGACGAGUAAUUUGAUAUUGGGUGUUUUGACAAAAGACUUGUGCUUAGCUUAUUAUUACUUAAUGUUUGAAGUAGAUGUGAUUACGCUAGAAAAAUGUGAUAAUUGGGUGUAGUCGUAUAUCGGUAUCUAGUGUUUAUGUAUUCUAGUUUGUGAUGCCUGACCAUAAGUAUUAAUCCUUUUUGGUAUAGCAAUAAUUAGUUAUGUACUAUUUCUUGGUAUUCAUACAUGUGCAUAAUGCAUUUCAUUUAUGUACGAUAAUUAAUCUCGUGAUGCGGAAGACGAGCCAAGUUGACCUCAAGAUGGUGUAAGGAGUGGUCUUCUUCGCACAACGAUAUCGUCAGUCGGACGAACCUGAAGAUGGAUAAACUAAACGAGUGCCAAGACAAAGGAUGCUCGCCAAGUGGUCACCACUUAACCAACAGUAACCUAGUGUUAUCCAGGCAAGCCCCGGUGCAUUUGCCACCUCCUUGUUGUUUUACUAGUCGGUUGCCUGUGCGUUGCGACGGCUUACAACAAUACCCACGUAAACUAUCAAUCAAAA
rnacentral:lncRNA from 1 species